rnacentral:misc_RNA from 1 species
AGCAGCCGCGGUAAUUCCAGCUCCAAUAGCGUAUAUUAAAGUUGUUGCAGUUAAAAAGCUCGUAGUUGAAUUUCGGGAUCAAUAUAUUGGUCAUGCUUAGGUAUGUACUGGUAUUAUUGAUUUCUCCCUUCUGAAGAACCAUGAUGUCAUUAAUUUGAUGUCGUGGGGAAUCAGGACUGUUACUUUGAAAAAAUUAGAGUGUUUAAAGCAGGCUUUCGCUUGAAUACAUUAGCAUGGAAUAAUGAAAUAGGACGUUUGAUUCUAUUUUGUUGGUUUCUAGGAUCGACGUAAUGAUUAAUAGGGAUAGUUGGGGGGCAUUAGUAUUCAAUUGUCAGAGGUGAAAUUCUUGGAUUUAUUGAAGACUAACUACUGCGAAAGCAUUUGCCAAGGAUGUUUUCAUUAAUCAAGAACGAAAGUUAGGGGAUCGAAGACGAUCAGAUACCGUCGUAGUCUUAACCAUAAAUUAUGCCGACUAGGGAUCAGAUGAUGUUAAUUUUUUAAUGACUCAUUCGGCGCCUUA